GGCUGCGUGUAGACCUGGGUGACUGUCAGCUGAGUUCCCAAGUGGAGGGCCUCGGAAGACGCUCUGUGCGGCCUACUAACAAGCACGAGGUACACGCAGAGAAAAGGCCAUGUGAAGACACAGCGGGAAGGUAGCCAUCUGCAAGCCAAGGAGAGAGGCCUCCAGAGACACCAAAACCUGCCGACACCUUGAUCUUGGACUUCAUGCCCCCAAAACUGUGAGAAAAUAAAUUUCUGUUGUUUAAGCCA